rnacentral:rRNA from 1 species
AGUGAACGCUGGCGGCAGGCCUAACACAUGCAAGUCGAACGGCAGCACAGUAAGAGCACGUUCUUACGGGUGGCGAGUGGCGGACGGGUGAGGAAUACAUCGGAAACUACUUUUUCGUGGGGGAUAACGUAGGGAAACUUACGCUAAUACCGGAUACUACCUCAGGGUGAAAGCAGGCGACCUUCGGACCUUGGGCGAUAGAAUCAGCCGAUGUCGGAUGAGCUAGUUGUCAGGGUAAAGGCCCACCAAGGCGACGAUCCGUAGCUGGUCUGAGAGGAUGAUCAGCCACACUGGAACUGAGGAACGGUCCAGACUCCUACGGGAGGCAGCAGUGGGGAAUCUUGCGCAAUGGGCGAAAGCCUGAUCCAGCAGUACCGCGUGAGUGAAGAAGGCCUUCGGGUGGUAAAGCCCUUUUGUUGGGAAAGAAAAGCAGCAGGAUAAUCCCCCGCUGUUCUGACGGUACCCAAAGAAUAAGCCCCGGCUAACUUCGUG